rnacentral:rRNA from 1 species
AUUGAACGCUGGCGGCAGGCCUAACACAUGCAAGUCGAACGAGUGGCGGACGGGUGAGUAAUGUCUGGGAAACUGCCUGAUGGAGGGGGAUAACUACUGGACACGGUAGCUAAUACCGCAUACAAUCAGAUGUGGCACGAUGGGAUUAGAUAGUUGGUGGGGUAACGGCUCACCAAGGCGACGAUGCCUAGCUGGUCUGAGAGGAUGACCAGCCACCCUGGAACUGAGACACGGUCCAGACUCCUACGGGAGGCAGCAGUGGGGAAUAUUGCACAAUGGGCGCAAGCCUUAUGCAGCCAUGCCGCGUGUAUGAAGAAUGCCUUCGGGUUGUAAAGUACUUUCAGCGGGGAGGCGUUACCCGCAGAAUAAGCACCGGCUAACUCCGUGCCAGCAGCCGCGGUAAUUC